ACGAGAGGGCAGCUUGAGCUGGGUUCUUAGCUGUCACUACAGUGAACUAAUUGCCACAUCAAAUAGUAAACAUUUAUUUCUUUAACUAAAUUGCACAGUGUGAGGAAUGGGAAGCUGCAAAAAUACAAAAACAAAGAAGAAAUAAGCGACAAAAAUGUACAAGUGAUUGCAAUGGGAAUGAUGAUGUAUUACUGUUAAAGUCAAAAUCGGAACUGUGUCGAUGUGUAAGAAGCAGCAACACUUUGUUAUGUAUUUUGUCUUCUUCUCAUAUCUCUAGCUGUACAUCUUACAUACUUUCUUGUCUUGUGUUUCAUCUCCUCUACCAUUUCUUGUCGACACAAUCUAAAUUAACUACAAGAAACUAAAAAGACUUGUUUAGUCGACAUGAAUCAUGGUUGAUGGAAGGUUACGAGCACUUCGUGCUAAUUAUAGUGAUGAAAUGCGUCCCAAGUGUGUCGAGAAUGCAAGCCUCUCUAAAGGCAUAGACAUCCUUAUAUGGGCCUUCUUAGGCCCGUUUAAAAUAUUAGAGCCUUGUCCAAUUUUAAGCUAGGGGAAGUAGAAACCCUAGCUAUAUAAAGUCGAGAGACGAGUGAAACAGAGCUGAACAACCGAGCUCGGCGAUUUCACGAUGAGAGCCAAGUGGAAGAAGAAGCGCAUGAGGAGAUUGAAGAGGAAGCGCAGAAAGAUGAGACAGAGAUCUAAGUAGUCUUUGUCUUGCUUUAUCUCCUAAUCUCUGUGGUUGCUUUCUAGUUUCUUGAACCGUGUAUGUUUUGUGUUUUUUUACAUUCAAGAUUUGAACAAUCAUGUGUAGAACAUGUUUUUGCUUACUCCCUUUUAUUAUCUACAAAGCAGAGGCUGAAUAUUAUGCUUCUAUUUUAUAAAAA